rnacentral:rRNA from 1 species
GGAUGAACGCUGGCGGCGUGCCUAAUACAUGCAAGUCGAGCGAACGGACGAGAAGCUUGCUUCUCUGAUGUUAGCGGCGGACGGGUGAGUAACACGUGGAUAACCUACCUAUAAGACUGGGAUAACUUCGGGAAACCGGAGCUAAUACCGGAUAAUAUUUUGAACCGCAUGGUUCAAAAGCGAAAGACGGUCUUGCUGUCACUUAUAGAUGGAUCCGCGCUGCAUUAGCUAGUUGGUAAGGUAACGGCUUACCAAGGCAACGAUGCAUAGCCGACCUGAGAGGGUGAUCGGCCACACUGGAACUGAGACACGGUCCAGACUCCUACGGGAGGCAGCAGUAGGGAAUCUUCCGCAAUGGGCGAAAGCCUGACGGAGCAACGCCGCGUGAGUGAUGAAGGUCUUCGGAUCGUAAAACUCUGUUAUUAGGGAAGAACAUAUGUGUAAGUAACUGUGCACAUCUUGACGGUACCUAAUCAGAAAGCCACGGCUAACUACGUG